UAACAGAGGUCCCAAGCGUUGUUCGGAUUCAUUGGGCGUAAAGGGUGCGUAGGCGGCGCGGUUAAGUCGGGUGUGAAAUCUUGGAGCUUAACUCCGAAACUGCAUUCGAUACUGCCGUGCUUGAGGACUGGAGAGGAGACUGGAAUUUACGGUGUAGCGGUGAAAUGCGUAGAAUAUCGUAAGGAAGACCAGUGGCGAAGGCGGGUCUCUGGACAGUUCCUGACGCUGAGGCAACGAAGGCCAGGGGAGCAAACGGG
rnacentral:rRNA from 1 species